rnacentral:misc_RNA from 1 species
UUAACUAAUUUCCCACAUGAUUCCUCAGACUUCACCAAUCACACGAGUUGACAACAUUUUCUCUGGCAGGCACGCUCCAGCCCAGGGGGCCAGCGGAGCGCCAAGGCGCCCCGGCCUGCCAAAGCAACAGGAGAAUAAAUCGACACGGGUGGGAGGGUCGACCCCGGCAUGUUCCCCUGAACCUCGACUUGCGCCGCGGAGGGGCCGAGGUCUUCACGCUCUGUAAUGAUCCUUCCGCAGGUUCACCUACGGAAA